rnacentral:rRNA from 1 species
UACAGAGGUGGCAAGCGUUGUUCGGAAUUACUGGGCGUAAAGCGCGUGUAGGCUGACCGGAAAGUCGGGCGUGAAAUCCCUGAGCUCAACUCAGGAACUGCACUCGAAACUCUCGGUCUAGAGUGGUGGAGAGGGAAGUGGAAUUCCUGGUGUAGAGGUGGAAUUCGUAGAUAUCAGGAGGAACACCAGUGGCGAAGGCGGCUUCCUGGACACCAACUGACGCUGAGACGCGAAAGCGUGGGGAGCAAACAGG